GAUUAUCAUAAACUUUAUUUGUCUUCAAUUUAUUUCAUAGCAGUACAUCUUAUUUUCAUUUGAUUAAUUAGCCAUAACUUGGCAUAACAACUCAGGUUAUUUAAAAACCUAGCAAGUGAGGUUAUUCUCAGGAGCAACGCCGAGUUGACUGCAAUAAUCUCUAUAAUAUCUAACACGAGCCUGAACAGUACCUGGGUUUCCACCAUUGCAUUCCAUACUAUUAAUGGCUCGAAUAGUUGCUCCAAAACCUUGGCUUACAACAGGACGAACAAUGUUCAUCCAAAACCAUAAGGCUGUCUUAAAUGACACAACAGCAUCGCUUGCUACAAUGUCAGGAUUGUUCAAUCCAUCAAAGUUGUUGCUCCUUCCGGCUGGCCCAUAGUUGUAGUUCCAUGAUAGUUGGAGUGGUCCGCGGCCAUAGUAUUUCUUGCCUGGAACACAUGGGUAUUCCCUGUUGUUUUUAUCACAGUAGUCUUGACCGGAAGCACCAUUUAUCUCUUCUUUAUAGCAGAAGUCUGCAAAAUAAGACAUUUUCUCUUGUCAGUUUACACACGAGGAGCUGAAACACGCUUAUUAGACAGUUCACUUUGUUGGCAAAAUCCAUAUGCGGACAAAUGUAUUUGUGGAAAAGAUAGAUAGACAGACAGACUACUGUUGGCUAUCAUGCUUGCUAUUCAAAUGCUGCGAGAAAUGUUGUUAGGGAUGGAAGAAGAACUUACGUCCAGUCUCAUGAGUAACAUGAGCGAAGAAAGCUGCAAUCUCACGCUUAGAAGCUUCAACUGAACCAAGUUUACCAAAUUGAGGAUAUGAAUUGACAGCACUGAGAAAUGCAUCUCUUGUAUAGAAAUUCUUCCCAGCACAGCCUGCAGGAGCUUGGCUGAUUAUACCAUUGAAGAAACCAGGCGUAACAAUAUCAGCAACAGAACCACUCCCACUGGGAGUAGUAGGCGUAGGCGAUGAAGAACAGGGCCCUUGCUUACAUCCCUGACCACAAUAGUCAUUGCCAGUGCCACAGUAGCCAUAUUGACUGCAACAAAGGUUUGCAGCACAGCCACAAUUUUGAGCCUCUACCACAUUCUUGGGCAGGGCUCCUGCAAGAGCUAUGGCUAAGAUAAUGGUAAGUAGAAUAUUGCUUCUCAUUUUCGCUACUCCUGAAGGGAGUUUUGAUAUUGAUAUGCAAAGAGAGAAAGGAAUUUCUUGUGGUGUGUGGAGAUAAGGUCGAGGUUAAGCUAUUUAUAGAGGCACAAAGUGGACGAGUUCUAUAAUUUUACGUGUAAAAUAUCUAGGAGUUGAUUAUAUUUUAGUCUAUAAAAUUUAGCAAAAUAAAUAAAGUUCGGCAAAAAUUUCUAGGAUCAUGACAUUAAAGUCUUCACGUGACAUCUUGUUGAAGUGGUCUGACAGUUACAUACCAUAGAAGGUAGAAACUUUAUUAUUACAUCAGACACAACCCUAUUUAGUCCUAUGUGUCUAUUUCUACAUCAGACAAUCUUAUUUGGCUUUGUAAUUACUGAUUAUCACCUCAUAACUUUUUUCCAACCCAACAUUUUCCUCUCAUUAAUUAAGAGCUUAAUUUGCGUUUGAUGAAUGACCUAACUAAAGAAACUUAAAAACCGGUAGCCAAUGGGAUCGAAAGCAAGUACGGCAACUCAAUCGAGUUAUUUAUUGAGAAAACUAGCAUAUCAUUCAGGCUAUAAUAAACUGGAAGCUAGUUAUAGAUAAAAACAUAAAAGGAAGUUACAAAGAAGAUGCUACUAACAAACUCCUAUAAACAAGAACUCAUCACUUAUUAGACCCUCUUAAAAUGCCUUUGAGACCUUUAAUCAAAGUGCAAGUCGACGAUGGAGUAUGAGUUGAAACAAUGUAUUCCAAUCAAGCUUCUUAUCUUUGAAGAUCAGCUUGUUUCUUACGGUGCAAAUUAAAUACCCCCACAAAAUUCCAUAUGAUAGCAUCGUGAAGGCAUUUCGCUAGAACUUACCUUUCCAUGAAAUUAGUCUUGUGCGGAUGCUAUUUAUCACAAGCUUCCAAGUGGAGAGUCUUUUCAGGUUUGCUCCCAAAAAGAAGGCCUAAGUAUUGGGCAACUAGUGUGUCCCAUUUGCAAUAUAUCACAUUUGUUAUUUCUACUGUAAAUUCAUCAUCUAGGUUGAUGUCAACUAGUGAACUUCUAUGAAAAUUAACCUCUAGAUAUAAAGUAAAUUCAAACCACUUCAAAAUCUUUUUAGCAUUAGUUAUCAAAGUGAAAUGAUUAGGAAUAAACACUAAAGUAUCAUAUGCAUAUUACAAAUAACUCAUAUACAUCCCAUUUCCCCAAUGGAUUUUUAAAUUAUCCAGAAGUUGAAGCUUUUUUAAAUAGAACUGAGAACCCCUUCAUAUCUAUGUCAAAAAGAAAAGGCGAUAGUGAUUCUCGCCUUGACAUGGUCACGUUCUACUCUAAACUCCGUGCUUGGUGAACCUUUAAUACACUACCAUAAUCUUUAUAUUUAUUGAUGAAAUUUUUUAUCGGUAUUUGUAUUAUCAUUCCAUUGGUAAUUAAUUUAUUGACGGAAAUGCUCCGUCUGUAAAUCUUUCGUUUGUAAUUUUUUGUCCGUCGGUAAGUCUGUUGGUAAUAAAAAAUAUUAUUACUGAUGGAUUUACUAACGGAAAAAGAGCGAAAAAAAUUAUCUGCUUCAUUUCAUUGGUAUUUUCCUCGAAAAAAUAUCAUAUAUAAUUCCGUCGGUGAUUAUUUAAAAAUAUUUUAAAAAAAUCUAUUUUACAAAACUAUAAAAUAAUUAAAUUAAUAUAAAUCAACACUCUAUAAUACUCAAAACUGAGUUGCUUGGAAAAACAAAACAAGAAAAUCAAAUCAAAUAAAUUUGCAACAAAUAAAUAACACAAAAAAAUAAAUUCAACUAAAACAAUUCAUAUGAAAAAAAUGAAGUUGCUAUUGCUAAAAAUAAAACAACUAAAAAUUGAUCUCAUAUGAAAAAAAAAUCCUACAAUAACAUUCAUACAAUUAUUAAGAACAAAAAAAUUUAAAAAUAAAAUAAAAAAACAAAUAUAGUGAAAAAAAACUUGACAAAUUAAAGAAGAGAAAAGAAAAAUCUUACUGUAGUCGCAACUGAAGCCGAGAAGAGAAAAAAAAUUGUUAAGUAUAUUAAUAAAAAAAGAACUGAGAAGAGAAAAGAAGAAAGGAGAAGAAGACAUAUCUGAGCAUGGAAAAGAAGAGAAGGAGUUGAGGAGAUAAGAAAAGAGAAGAAAAAUAAAAGAAUAUUGAUUUUUUUAUAUAUGGAGAAGAAGAAUUUGAUGCUGUUGCAUACGAAGAUGUUAAACAACGAGGACUCCCUUGUCUGAUUCCAGAGUCCAGUGAGCCUUGGGAUUCCACCUCACAUUCAUCUUCAAUAUGCUGUAGACUUCCACUUGAAGAGAGAAGCUUAGCCUUGUGCUUCAUGCGUCUGAGAAACAUUGGAUGCGACGUCGUGGAAUUGUUGCUAACACAUCCUGAAAUUGUAAUUGCAUUUCAUUUGAAAGACGGGGGCCUAAAUGAAGUGCUGAACAGUUGUGGUCAUAAUGGCCCAUCGUUUUUGGGCCUUCAUUUUUACGUUCUCUCUUGUCUCAUAGAAAUAAGAUUUUAUUUUAGAAAUCUGGGAGAACGUACAAAAUAAGAGAGAACGUAAAAAAGACUAGUAGAUAAACUCAAUUACCAUAUAAAUUUUGUGUAUGAACUUUUUUAUAUAUAUAUUUUUUAUUUUUAUUUAAAUCUCUUAUAAUAUUUAAUGACACAUUAAGGAUCUAUGUAGUGAUUACUUGGUUGCUUUUAGUUAUAUUUGUUGCUGUGAGUACUAUUAGCUGCGGUUAAAAGAUGUUUAUCUAGCAAUAUAACAAAAAAAGAUAAAGGUGAAAAUACUAUGGCAUAGAAAUAUUUUACUAUUUAUUGCUAUAGUAUAAUUAUUUAUUUACCCUUCUCAAAAAAACCAAUGGCUUUUACAUUGGGGAUUUUUUUUCUUUUCAGAUGACUUAUUAUUAAUUAUUAUAUUGAUCGAUUGUCUUUUUUAUUUUUUUUAAGAACAAUGGAAUUAUUAAUUUACUCUUCAAAGCAAAAUUAUUGAAACUAAGUUUUAAGGACUUUCACAUCAAUUCACUAUUUUAAGAACAAUAAAAAGACUUGCAAAAUUUCUAAAGCCUGCAUAUAGGAGCUUUUAUGUUUUUUCACUAUGUUUUUUCUUUUUUUUGUUAUUAUCAUAUUGGUUGAUGGUAAUUUAAUCUUUUAAUAAAAAUAAAAUAAUAUUAAAAUAGAAAAGUUGAUGAUAUAUACAACUCACGCUCCAACGUGUGGGAGGCGCCCAUAAAUUUUGUCAGCAUGCACAACGCAUCACAGUGGUUAAAAAGCUCUUUUGUUAUGUUAUUGAAAUCUUUGCAGCUUAUUAUUUUUGGUGGGGUGGCACGUGGUGAUCUUGGUAUGAUGAAUUGUUGUCGGUGAGACUUUUUUUUUUUUCCUCUUUUCUCUCUCUUAUCCUCUCGAAAAUCGUACUAGACAUUUAGAAUUUCAAUGUUGUCCUCUUAGUUAUUGAUACUUCAAAUUUGAUUCUUAUUCUUUUGAUUUCUAAUUUUUAUUCUUAGCCCUUCACCAUUGCCAUUUUAAUUACAUUCUUACUAUACAUGCAUAUGCGAAUUAUAAUUUACGUAUGCUUGUUGCAUUUUAGUGACCAAGCCUGGGCUAGCUGGAUCAAGCCCAGCCCGUACGACAAACCUAGAUCCGACCAGAAAAAAAUAAAAAAAUUGUUUCUUUCUUUUUUUAGAUUUAAAAUUUGCGGACUUAUUCACUGACAUCAUUGUCAGGAAUACCGCACUUUGUGGAUUGCGCAAUAUUUACCAAUGCUAGAGUUGUAAAUAUUUAUAGGUGAAUAUUUAUUGACGUCAGAGUUGAGAAUAUUAUAGGAUGACCUUAAAAAUGGAACAAAGACAAACUCUUAGCAAUUUAAGACAAAACCAGCAAUGCAGCUUGCUUCAAGUAAGACGCUUAAGGGGUGGUAGUAUCUUCCAUUUCGCGUAACUAGUCCCGUACCAUAGAAUCUCUGUUGAUUAGUUAGGGUUGGUAGUGAUUGUAAUACUAGGUGGUGACUCCUUAAACUAGACCUUUCCCUCAAAGAACAAGAUGUUAGAUAUCUUUUUUUUCUUAGAUUAUUUUUAAUUGGUUGUCGCGAUGUCCGAGUGUGAUAUCUGAGGCUGACAUUGAAGUUUUCUUAUGGAUGAGAUUGCAUAAAAUUAAAAGUUUGAAGUCAAUCAAGGGUGUAAUUGAGACAAAUCAGAAAUCAAAUGAAUAAAGUGAACGUUACCAAAACGAUGCCGUUUUGGUUAUUUUUCAUCAUCUUCUUCAAUUUUCUCUGAAAUGAUAGCUCAGGAAAACUACUUUAUAAGUGCAUUUAAUGCCUCUAACCUUUAUCAAAUUUGACAAAACUUGCAUGCAAAUGAUCACCUGACAUCCCUUUACACCUCGGUAUGGUCCGUUUAGACUGAUUGACACCACAGAAGCCGCGAUGCCAACCUAAAAAGGCCAGCUCAAGCAGCCUUUAACUGUCAAAUUUCACAGUUCAUGGUGCCUACUUUGAGCCAACGGUUGGGAUCCUUCCCAUUCGAAUCAAGGGCUGAAAAUUUUUCUCAGUGAAGAAAAUAUUACCCUCCUCCAAACCCUAUAAAUAGGGGAGAUUUCAUGGCCUGAGCAUGAGAAAAAUCAGGUCAAAAAAUCAGCUCGUCCCCCUGUUUUUACUGCCACUAUGAACUGUCUCUUCAUUCUCUCUUCACCGUGGCCUUUGGCCACCCCUACUCCCUCCACCGUCUUGUUCAUCACCAUCUCCACCACAAGCAGCCACCCAACCACCUCACGUGGUGGUUGCACCAUCUCUCCCUCUCUCUCCCUACAGUUUCCUCCCUCUACUUCUUCUUCUUCCUGCCUCCAGCUCUGCAACGAGCCACCAGCCGUUCCAUCGUCCUCAACCAGACCAGUAACGACAUCCAUGACCCUUUAGCGAGGUGAGCCCCCUUUCCUCCUCUUCUUCUUCCCUCUCUGUUCAUGCAUAAACAAUGGGCGUGUCCUACUAUUCAUGCAAUGGAUUUUGGGCUAAGCCUAAUGGCUGGAACGGGUCCGACCCAAACUAAAAAAAAUUGUGUUGGGCCGAGAUUAGCCCAAUAUUUCUUGGACAAAGUUCGGCUCAGCCAAUAUUUAUUUAAUAUCUAUUUUUUUAUAAUAUAAUAUAUAUUAUAAAAAAAGAAAAAAAAUCAAAAAUCCUUUUAAAAAGAUUGUGUUUUCUCAAAUAUUUUCUAUCAAUUUUGUAUAAUAUCAGGUUGUAUAUUUAUAUUGUAAGAUACAAAUCUGGUAUUAAAAUACCUGGUUUUCUCUAAAAUAUUUCUAAAAACCAUUUUUAAAAAUAAAAAAUUCAUAACUUUUAAAUUAAUUUCCCUUUUCAAAAAAACAAAAAAGAAAAAAAUAUUUUGUUUUCAUGCAUACGGCCAAAUCCUAAAAAGUUUUCCAAGCAUAUUUAAAAAGAAAAAACAAAAACAAAAACAAAAACAAUUACAUCUUUUUCAUGUUUUAAAAAGCAAAAAGAAUGGAUAUCUUACCUAAUUUAUGAUUGUCCAUUAGGAUUUGACUAAAUUGUCAAAAACCCUUUACAAAUCAUUUUUCUAGGGUGUAGAUGUAGACUUUAACAUCUAUGAGGUGUAAAACUAUACAGUAGAGUACACCCUCAGAUAUUAAAGACACAAAGUGUAAAAUAAAUACAUUGCUAAAAUUUGAUAUUUAGAAUGGUUAUAAUUAAACCGAUGAGGUAGAGACUCUCUCACGAAGAGAGAUCUAUUUUGAACCUUACUAACGAAUAGAAACUCGACUUAGAAAAACAACCAAGCAACAAUGCAACUUACCUUAGGUAGGGUGCACUAGGGUGAUGCAUCAUCCCCUCGUACAACCAGUCCCUUACCGGGACUCUCGCAAACCAUAGGUUUCUAUUAACCAUAAUACUAGGUAGCGACUCCUGAUCCUUAAUUAUAAUCUUAUGAUUAAACCCAAACAUAUUUCCUUUCCCAACAACAAUACCUCCUCAAGAGGCAUGAAAAGCUCGUCAUCACCCCUGAUGUCGUGCCCCCGUGUGACAAAGAUAAUAUACUUUGGGAUUUUAGCUGCUGAUUAAUUGCCUUUUCCAACUCCUCUAUUAUUUUGGAGUGAUCAAAUGGAUAUGAAAGAUAGCAAAGUGACCUUUUUCCUUGCAUAGAUUCUUUCAUUAAUGCUAUUUUUCAUGCGAGGAUUGCAGGAUGAAACAAAUCAAAAUUCUAUUUUACUACAAACCAAGUACAAAAUCUUGGUGAUUUUGAAUCUUUAUAUAUAGCAUCGUAAGAAACAGCUAGUUUGGUUUUAUCAUAUUCAUGACAAUACAUAAAAGUGAUGGGUUUAUUAUUUUUUAUUAUCCUAGCAAGGUUCUGGUAGGGGUCAAAGCCUGUUAUACAAGUGGUUCUGUAAUUUGCACUACUCAUAAUGUUUAAUAGAAAGACUAUAUAUAUGUAUAUAUAUAGUUUCAGUGCUAAUAUUACAUCCUAGUUGAAGAAGUUGAUUGGUAUAAGUCUAAUUUUUCAGUCAAGAUUGAAAGAACAGAACCCGAAAAAUGAAAGAGCUGGACUGUCGAAAAAAUAUUUCACAUGAAUUUCAUCUUGGAAAGGAAAGAUGAAGCUUGCUUACAAGACCUUUUAGUAUGAAAUUAUAUUAUUUGUAUCUAAAUAGUCAAUAAUGAUGCUAAUUUCUUUAAUGUAUUCAUAUGAAACUCUAUAUAUUUUCUUUUUUACUUACUGGCCACAACUGGUUUUUGGAUCUUUCUUUUAUCCCAUUAAUUAGUUGUUUUUUCUCAUGAUUUACUGAUCCUUGCAACUAUUUUGUGUGCAAAUAUUUGUUGGGAUUGAAGCUUUACAGCUUUGAAAACUAAACUAUUGGAGCACAGUUUGUGCUUCGGACACUUUAAUGACAAUAUAGCCUAUAUAAACUGGAUCUUUGUUUUGGUAGGACCCAGUGUUUCGGGUUCUUUUAUGCCUACCUCAAUUCAAUUUAAAGGAUUUUGAAUUUCAAAGUUAAAUGUUAAAUUUAAUGUUAUUGAUAUAAACAAUAGAAUUUUCUUACAACUCCAAACUUAUAGUUACAGACUUGUAAUAAUGUAUUAAAAUCUUUAUGAACUUUUAAUAUGCAAAAAAAAAAAAAUUAAAAUUUGUAGAGUAAUCAAAUAAUUUGAAUGUAAAAGAUAACUUAACAACUCAUAAUUAAAAAACUUACAUUCAUUGGAUGAUCAUUCAAUUUAUUACAAACAUGCACUAAAAGUUUUUUAAAAAUUUAUUUAGGAUACUUUAAGGGUAUUUUUUUAUGUUUUUUUUUAUAUAUAAAAAAAAUAAUUUGCAUUUCUAUUUAUGAUGUUUAAAUGUUUUUUUAUAAAAAAUAAUAAAAAUUAAAAAAAAUUAUUUAGGAUACUUCAAGGGUAGUUCAAAUGUUUUUUUCAUAAAAAAUAAAUAAAAUUUAUAAAAAAAUAAUUAGUAUUUUUGUUUAGGAUAUUUCAAGGGUAGUUUAAAUGGUUUUUUUUAUAACAAAUAGAAAAUAUUUAUAAAAAAAUAUUUAUGAUACUUCAGGGGUAGUUUUAAUAUUUUUUUAUAAAAAAAUAAAAAAAAUAUUAUAAAAAAAUUAAUUUGUGUUUUUAUUUAUUUUUUUAAUAUUUUUUAAUAAAAAAAAUAAAUUUUUUUUUUAAAAAUUAAUUAGAAUUUUAAUUUAAGAUACUUCAAAAAUAGUUUUUUUAUAUAUAUAUAAACUAGAAACAAAAUAUAAUUUUUUUAGCAUUUUUAUCUUUUCCAUUUUUUAUUCUAAAAGUUGUUGCAGCGUGUUGGGUCAAGGCAUGACCACCUGACCCAAGCAUAAUGGGUCUGGCAUGGCUGCCAAACCUAGAGCUAUUGAGUAUGGUUUGGCCUCCAGAACCAGCGUUCUUGAAUCUGGUAUUGCUGCUAGACAUAAGGAUCUUGGGCCUGGUAUUGCUGCUAGACCCAAAGGCUAUUGGGUCUGCCAUGACCACUGAACCUAUUUAUGUUAAAGAAAGAAAACAUUUAUAAAAAAAAUUAAUUAGUGUUUCUGUUUAGGAUACUUUAAAAGAAAUUUAAAUUUUUUUAUAUAAAAAAUAGAAAAAAUAUACUAAAAACAUUAUUUAGGAUACUUCAAUGUUAGUUUAAAUAUUUUUUUUUAUAAACAAUAGAAAACAUUUAUACAAUAAAUUAUAUAGGAUACAUCAAGGAUAGUUCAAAUAUUUUUUUUAAUAAAAAAAUAUAUAAAAAAACUAAUUAGCAUUUCUGAUUAGGAUACUUCAAGGAUAAUUUAUAUUUUUUUUUAUAAAAAACAGAAAAAAAAUUUAAAAAACAAAUUAUUUAGGACACUUCAAGGGUAAUUUUAAUUUUUUUAUAGAAAAAAUAUAAAAAAGUAUAAAAAAACUUAAUUAGUAUUUUUGUUUAUGAUAUUUUAAGGAUAGUUUAAAUAUUUUUUUUAUACUCUGUAUAUUUUUUUGACAUUUAAAAAAAAAAAUUUAUUAACCCGUUAUAUAGCACAAAUCAAUAUACUAAUAAAUAUGCAAUACAUGUGGUAUAUAUGUAAAAUAAUAUCAACCCUUUUGUUUUCAAGUCGUAUAUCAAAUAUAGGAAAAACUGGGGAAGCUAAAGCUAUUCAUAAUUGGAGGAGAGUUCACCCAUAUUUCUAACACCCGACCUUGUCGCAGCGAAUAAGAUAUUUGAACAUCCAAUCACUCAUGGUGGAUUUUUUGUCUAAUACUUAAAAUUCUCAAAUCAUUUCAAGGCUUUUGGAUAUCUUAACAUUAGGUUUUUUUUUUUUAAUCAACAUGAAGUUUUAACUUUGUAAUCAACAUGAAGUUUUAACUUUGUAAUCAACAUGAAGUUUUAACGAUAGAUGGUAAUCAUACGGGAGAUGAGCUUAAUAGGAUCCUCAAAAGCUUUACGAAAGUGGAAAUUUUCAAAGCUAGGAGACAGCAUAGUCUGGAAAUUAAUUUUCUUUUCUUCACACUCACAGUAAUACAAUUUCUUUUAAAUUCUUGAGCACACUAUUAUCUGAAACAAAUAUAGGCCCGAGGGAGGGCAUAGAGUUUAAUUUCCCGUACCAAUUGUUUGUGGCAUUGCUGGCAGAUGCGUAUUACUUUUCAAACAACUAGGAAAGGAUAAUCAACCACUACCAUUUCAAGCAAAAGUUGAAAGAAGUUAGGCAAGAAAAUAGAAAUCCUGUCCACAUAAAGACACAGAUUCAAUUGGUAGUUUACCAUGCUAGUUCUGACUUUGGAGGAAAAAGCCUGUCCAACCCUAUCUCCUAACGAAAGAAAACGUAAUAUCCUAUUACUUUAAACAGUCUGGAGUAGCUUCUACGAAGUUACUGGCACCCAAUGGCAUAGAAUGGGCAUGGCCGUCGUUGACUAGCUAAUUACCCAAAAUCUACGUCGCCUUCCUAUAUAUUUUUAAGAUAGAGAAGACAACCUUUCACCAUAAAUGAAAGGUUAGAAAAAAAUAAAAUUGAACCCGUCUUCUAGUGCUCCUUUCUUUUCUAGUUUUUGUAGCUAACUGUUAGGAUAAAAAUGGAUGUCCAGAAUCGACGCAUGUGGUUGAAUAAUUUGCCUACAAUAUCUGUUUUAUUAAUUAGAGAUGCCAUUCAUAUUACAAGGAGGAGGAGAUACACUCUCUCAACUCUAACUUAAUUUCUAACAUCUCAAUCUAAUAGUUUAAUAUUAAAAAAUAAUAUAAAUUAUAUUUUAAAACAUCAUCUAAUAGUUUAAAUUAUUAAAUUAAGAUGUUUUUUUAACAUAAUAUUAGAGCCUUAAUGAUCAAGCGGUCAUGGGUUCAAAUCUUAUCAUUCCUAUUUAUUUGUUAAAAAUUAAGCACAAAGUAAUAUAAAUAUGUACAAGCUAAAGAACUUUCACUUUUAAAGGUGUGUUAGAAAAUAAUAUAAAUCAUAUCUUGGAACCUAAUCUAAUAACUUAAAUUAUUGGGUUGAAUUGGUUAUUUAACACGCAACACUUUCUCUUUCUCUUGGUGAUUAGCUCAUUAGAAAUGUAGUAGUAGUUAUUUUUUAAAGUAUUUUUUUGCUUGGAAAUGCAUCAAAAUAAUAAUUUUUUAUUUUUUAAAAUUUAUUUUUCAUAUCGGCAGAUAAAAAUGAUCUUAAAACACUAAAAAAAAAUUAAUUUGAAAUAAAAAAAAUUAAAAUUUUCAAAUAAAACUUAUAGAACACAUAAACAAAUGGGAUUUUAUAACCAAAGAUAUGCAUCAAGUUGGAAUAGAUCCACAGCUCAUUCCAACACAUGCCAAUACAUGUCAUGUCAACUCAUUCCACCUUACUACAACUCAGCUCUUGCAGCUGAAAGUAAAAUAGGCCCCAACGUUUCUUCCACAUCUAGCUAGCUGGAUAAGAAAUGGGUGGGGAGUGCCUUUAGCUCUCCAUUAAUCAACACUACCAAGAUAUUUGACCACACUGUGGCCAUAUCGUAUAUAUUGGAAAAGAUCAUAUUUACUUUGGUCAAUAUAUAGUGCUGUCGGUCAAGUGAGCCAAGCACAUGGCCUAGCAACGCCAAACAAUAUGAUAAUUGGGAAGCAAAAGGAAAUCACAGCAUGUUGCCUAAUUUUUCAUUUUUUUGUCUGGCAAAUCGAUUUUUUGCCACUGUAUUUCAAACUUGUUUCAUUAACAUCAAGAUCAAUGCGAUGUUGUGUAUGGACAUGGACCCCAAUCCACAAUUGCUAUCAUGUAAGAAAUGGACUUGACAACUUCUUUGAAAAGUCUCGCCAUUAAUAUUGAUGAUGUUCAACGUCGGCUCAACAUGAUUUUGAACCAACAAAUAAUCUCAAUAGUGAUUUGAUGGCGAAGAUCCUAGGUGUUGCAGUUUCUGGAUGUUCUUAGAACAGUUCAAUUCAAUCCCUUAAUAUCUAAAAAAACACAAUUUAGUUUCUUUCGGCCCUAUUUAGAGUGUGGUUGGAUUAUAUUUUUUAAAAUUUUUAAUUUUUUUAAGUUUUAAAUUAAUAUUUUUAGUUUUUUUUAAUCAUGAUAUAAAAAAUAAAAAAUAUUAUCUUGAUAUAAUUUUAAAUAAAAAAACACUUUCCACCGUAAUAUCAAACAUUUACAAUUCAUGGCAAUUAUAGAUGAGUACAAUGACUAACACAUCUGUUAAUUUUGGUAUCAAUCAACCAAAUUUAAAAUGUUAAUUUUGGUAUCAAUCAACCAAAUUUGAAAAAUGAAAAGUAAGCUUAUCAUGCAUUAUAAACAUAACAGUCAAGGCAACACAACCUUUCAUUUUCAAAAACAUAAAACGAAAAAAUGUCAUAUUCAUGAAAUUUUUAAUUUCCAAACUAAGUGAUUUUCAAGUUUUUUUGAAGAAUAAUUUUUUUUAUUUAUAUUAUAAAAAAUUUAAAACUAAAACAACAACUUGUAUAGAGUUUGGCACUGUUUAGAGUGCGGUUGGACCACAUUUUUUUUAAAAUUUAAAUUAAUACUUUUUAGUUUUUUUUAUCAUUUUGAUAUACUAAUAUCAAGAAUAAAAAAUAUAAAAAAUAUUAUUUUGAUAUAUUUUUAAAUAAAAAAUACUUUAAAUCACAAUCUUAAACAUACUGUUUACAAUUCAUGGCAAUUAUUGAUGGUCAUGGUGACCAACACUUGUGUUAAUUUCAGUAUCAAUCAACCAAAUUUAAAAGAUGAAAAGGAAUUAUAUAUAAACAUAACAGGCAAUACAACCUUUCAUUUAAAAAAAAAAUAAAACGAAAACAUGUCAUAUUCAUGAAAUUUUUAAUUUCCAAACUAAGUGAUUUUCAAAUUUUUUGAAGAAUUUUUUUUUAUUUAUAUUUUAAAAAAAUUUAAAACUAAAACAACAAUUUCUAUAGAGUUCAAAUUAUUGAGAUCAUUAUAACAAUAUGCUUGUAUAAUUGGGAGGAAAAAAAGUCAUAGCUUCUCGUCUCUAUCUAGUCUCUAGCAUAAGCAAUAUGUAAAAAUCAAGAUUUAUUAAAAUGAGGACAAAUUCCUUUGGAAAAAAAGUUAUUUAAAAAUACUUUUUUUUUCCUUUGGUUCUUGUUUUACUCAAGAAAUAAUUAAUUAGAGUAGAUCCUACUACGGAUAUUAACAUAAAUUUGAAAAUUUAUUAUGGAAACGGAAGAAUAAAUGAAUAUGCACACAUAUAGUGAUUUCAAUUUCAAAUUGCUAAUAUAUUGGGUUCGAUGGAUCCAAUCUUUUGGUCAAAAUGGAUUCAAUUGAUGGAAAAUAAAAUACAAGGCGUAAAUUGAAUUUAAGCACAAAUUUAUGGCCACGUAAAGUGGAGGUUUUUCCAAGUAAUAAAAAUAAAUAUAAAAAGGGACAUCAAAAUUACUGAAAAACUAUAAGAGACAUAACGAUAAUUAUAAACUUUAUUUCUCUUCAAUUUGUUUCAUAGCAGUACAUCUUAUUUUCAUUUGAUUAGCCAUAACUUGGCAUAACAACUCAGGUUAUUUAAAAACCUAGCAAGCGAGGUUAUUCUCAGUAGAAACGCCGAGUUGACUGCAAUAAUCUCUAUAAUAUCUAACACGAGCCUGAACAGCACCUGAGUUUCCACCAUUGCAUUCAUUACCAUUAAUGGCUCGAAUAGUUGCUCCA
rnacentral:lncRNA from 1 species